GGUGAGUUUGAUCCCGGCUCAGGAUGAACGCUAGCGGCGUGCCUUAUGCAUGCAAGUCGAACGGUCCUUCCAGCAAUGGCAGGAUAGUGGCGAACGGCUGAGUAAAGCGUGGGUAACCUGCCCCCGAGUGGGGAAUAAUCCAUCGAAAGGUGGACUAAUACUUCAUAUGGUCCUUUCCUGAGAUGGAAAGGAGUAAAGUCCUGCCCUUACGGGCAGGAUGCUUGGGGAGGGGCCCGCGUCCCAUCAGGUAGUUGGUGGGGUAACAGCCUACCAAGCCGAGGACGGGUAGCUGGUCUUAGAGGAUGGUCAGCCAGACUGGGACUGAGACACGGCCCAGACUCCUACGGGAGGCAGCAGCAGGGAAUAUUGCGCAAUGGGCGAAAGCCUGACGCAGCGACGCCGCGUGAGGGAUGAAG
rnacentral:rRNA from 1 species